rnacentral:rRNA from 1 species
GAUGAACGCUGGCGGCGUGCCUAACACAUGCAAGUCGAACGAGUGGCGCACGGGUGAGUAACACGUAGCUAUCUGCCCCAAGGGGGGGAUAACGGAUCGAAAGGUCUGCUAAUACCCCAUAGGAGGAGGCUGCGGCCCAUCAGCUAGUUGGCGAGGUAACGGCUCACCAAGGCAACGACGGGUAGGGGGCCUGAGAGGGUGAUCCCCCACACUGGAACUGAGACACGGUCCAGACUCCUACGGGAGGCAGCAGUGAGGAAUAUUGCUCAAUGGGCGCAAGCCUGAAGCAGCGACGCCGCGUGGGCGAUGAAGGUCUUCGGAUCGUAAAGCCCUUUUCACCGGGAGGACGGUACCGGUGGAAUAAGUGUCGGCUAACUACGUGCCAGCAGCCGCGGUAAAACGUAGGACGCAAGCGUUAUCCGGAAUUACUGGGCGUAAAGCGCGUGUAGGCGGAUGUUUAAGUCAUUGUUGAAAGCUCCCGGCUAAACUGGGAGAGGUGCGGUGAUACUGGACAUCUGAGGGGGUCAGAGGGAAGCAGAAUUCCGGGUGUAGUGGUGAAAUGCGUAGAGAUCCGGAGGAAUACCAGAGGCGAAGGCGGCUUCCUGGGACUUCACUGACGCUGAGACGCGAAAGCAUGGGGAGCGAACGGGAUUAGAGACCCCGGUAGUCCAUGCCGUAAACGAUGCAGAUUAGAUGUGCGUGUCGCAGCUAACGCGAUAAAUCU